rnacentral:rRNA from 1 species
AUUGAACGCUGGCGACAGGCCUAACACAUGCAAGUCGAGCGCGAAAGUCUUCGGAUGAGUAAAGCGGCGAACGGGUGAGUAAUGCAUGGGAAUCUGCCUGGUAGUGGGGGACAACGUCUCGAAAGGGACGCUAAUACCGCAUACGCCCUACGGGGGAAAGGGGGGGAUCUUCGGACCUCUCGCUAUCAGAUGAGCCCAUGUCAGAUUAGCUAGUUGGUGAGGUAAAGGCUCACCAAGGCGACGAUCUGUAACUGGUCUGAGAGGAUGAUCAGUCACACUGGAACUGAGACAGGUCCAGACUCCUACGGGAGGCAGCAGUGGGGAUAUUGGACAAUGGGGGCAACCCUGAUCCAGCCAUGCCGCGUGUGUGAAGAA